GGGAACAAAGACUUUUUAUUGACAACUUACAUCAGAUUCAUUAAGGCCAAUGAUUUGAUAAAGUAGUUGAUUCUAAAUGUUGUCAGAGACAGUUACAGUUAUAUCUAACAUCUGUCAGCUACACAGGCACAUAACAAACCAAACAGCGUCAGGCUGAGCUGCACAGUUUUCACCAGAAGAACCAAAAUCAGACUGAGGUUCUGUGUGACGUGACUGAUGUUAGUGGACCUGCUCUUACUCUGUGUUUGCAGGUUUGAGACCUGAUUUCUGCUGGAGAGGCAGCUCCUUCUCCAGAGGUGCAGGAUAGUCGGGCCAUAAACCUUUAACAAUCUCUUCAGCUUCCUGAAACCCUUGGAAAAUGAGAUCUUUUCCAAUUUUUGGUGUUCCUGCAUCACAGAACUUGAGGUUGUUUCUCAGUCGGUCCGGACCAAACUCCAGCACCUGGAACAGAAACAGAACAAAUGCAGGAUCUUUGGAUAAAAUACGAUGAGGAUGCAGAGCUCGACCGUUAGCAGGGGCAGCUGCAGCUGUACUGUGAUGUUCAGAUACAGAAAAACACAUUUGCUUAUUCUAACAUGUUUCUCUCGUCCCUUCGAUGACUUAGCAAAUACCCUCAAUGUGUUUCCUUUGUCACCAUCAGACUAAAAAUGGGGGUGUGGAGGCUUCAUCUGUCUAUAAAGAGAGAAGAUGGAGCAGAGAUGGUACCUUUCCUUCCUCCAUGUGCAGAGCGACGGCCACAUGAUCCCAAACAUAAAACUCACAGUCUUUCACAGCCAGCUCCCGAACCUCCAUCAGGUUUUCAUCAGGUCUCUGGAUCAACUCAUACCUGACAGAAACAAACAUUUAAAGAGGUAAAUGGUUAAAAUUCAGUUGAAUUUGUUCAGUUCGUGUGUUUGUUUCAUAGUAAGUGCAGCCCCAGUUGGUCAGUGUGUGGUGAAGACGAACUACCAGACUGAGGCACCAACAUGGAAGAAAAAGGCUGCAAACAAUAAACAUGGAGCGGUGCAGGUCAGUCUGGUCUCACCUGUGCGUCUCACACAUGGCCUCAGGCCUCCAGACGAAGCGUCCGUCUUUGUAAACACAGACGGCGUUCGGGUCGUCAGUCAGCUCAGGAUACUCUGAGGACAGCUCCUGAUUGACCGGACUGUGGACCAGCACAACAUACAUCACUUCCUGUUUGUACAGGAUGGUCUUGAACACCCUCAUGACAGGUUGAGCACCAGAGCAACACUGGGGACAACAAAAGGAUUUGGUUAAACUUUUCUCCAACACAGUGUGAGGGGUCAUCCAGCAGGGACAAUAAGUGAUUUGUUGUUUCUUUUCUCUUGUAACUUGUGUGAACUGGCCCUUUAACCUGUCAGUUCACAAACACACUGUUGAACUAAAUACUCUGGCACUGUGUCCCUGCUUCCUGUCACAGUAAAGGUGCUGACAGACCUGCUGCCUGUAGGCCUCCAGCAGCUCCUCCAGGGGGAAGGUGAAGCGGUAGGAGCCCAGCCUGGAGGUCUCCUUGAAGGCUGGGGAGGUGGCAAAAUUCCACAAGAAGCUCUGCUGCCCCUGGGCCUGCUCCUGUGUCUGGUCUGGGUAGGUUUCCUCCAGGAGCCUCUGCUCAGCUGAUGUUAUAUCAUCAGGACCAACAGCCAGACUCCACCACAGCAGCUUUUGAGAGUUAUCUGGGUCCUUGAAGCCACCUUCCUCUUGGAUGCCACGCAAUCCAGCUUGAUCUGUGUCAUGUUUCAGGUGAGACACAUGAAUCUCUGGUCGAGGGUACGUGGGGAUGAUGUUGGUUUUUUCUAGGUACUGGUUUCUCAAAUGUUGAGCCCUCUGUCUUAAAUCAUUUAUCUUCAGGUGGAAACCUUCAACAUAAUUUUCCUUGUGUCCUCUCCUGUUUGUUCGUUCCUCCAUGGUCAGAUGGAAAAGGAUGUAGAUUAAAAGUUUGUAGUGUCAGAAAUAUCUGCUCACUGUCCUCUGGUUCUGAGUCCACAGAUCUCUGAGCUCUAACAGGUGAGUUGCAGUAUUUAAAUAUAAACCACACCCAUUUCCUUCUUUCAGGAGACACUUCAUUGUUCUGAGAAACAUCAUUUGACUCAUCACAAGUCAAAUUUCAUUCACCCAGGCAAAUAUCAUGAAUGACAACAGGACUGAAUGAUAGUUUUUACAGUACGAAACACCCUCUGUCCUCAGACCCUUGGAAAAGGAAAAACUCUCCCAAAACAAAACGUUUGGAAGAAAAAUG
rnacentral:lncRNA from 1 species